rnacentral:rRNA from 1 species
GACGAACGCUGGCGGCGUGCCUAAUACAUGCAAGUCGAACGCAGUGGGGACGGGUGAGUAACACGUGGGUAACCUCCCAUCAGAGGGGAGAACACUUGGAAACAGGUGCUAAACCGAUCCUGAUGGAUGGACCCGCGGUGCAUUCGCUAGUUGGUGAGGUAACGGCUCACCAGGGCCACGAUGCAGAGCCGACCUGUGAGGGGGAUCGGCCACACGGGGACUGGGACACGGCCCAGACGCCUACGGGAGGCAGCAGUAGGGAAGAUUCGGCAAUGGACGAAAGUCUGACCGAGCCAAGCCGCGUGAUUGAAGAAGGUUUUCGGAUUGUAAAACUCUGUUGUUAGAGAAGCGGGACCUAACCAGAAAGCCACGGCUAACUACGUGCCAGCAGCCGCGGUAAUUC